ACAUUUUCUGUAUCCAUUCCUCUGUUGAAGGGCAUCUGGGUUCUUUCCAGCUUCUGGCUAUUAUAAAUAAGGCUGCAAUGAACAUAGUGGAGCACGUGUCUUUUUUAUAUGUUGGGGCAUCUUUUGGGUAUAUGCCCAAGAGAUGUAUAGCUGGAUCCUCAGGCAGUUCAAUGUCCAAUUUUCUGAGGAUUCUCCAGACUGAUUUCCAGAAUGUUUGUACCAGUUUGCAAUCCCACCAACAAUGGAGGAGUGUUCCUCUUCCUCCACCUCCUCGCCAGCAUCUCUUGUCCCCUGAGUUUUUGAUCUUAGCCAUUCUCACUGGUGUGAGGUGAAAUCUCAGGGUUGUUUUGAUUUGCAUUUCCCUUAUGACUAAAGAUGUUGAACAUUUCUUUAGGUGUUUCUCAGCCAUUCGGCAUUCCUCAGCUGUGAAUUCUUUGUUUAGCUCUGAACCCCAUUUUUUAAUAGGGUUAUUUGUUUCCCUGCGGUCUAACUUCUUGAGUUCUUUGUAUAUUUUGGAUAUAAGGCC
rnacentral:lncRNA from 1 species